UUUUUUCCUCCUUCUAGAGUCAAUGCAUGUGUUGAUGUGGUGCUCUCAGGGGUGAAGCUCUUGCAGGCACUUGGCCUUAGUCCUGGGAAUGGGAAAGAUCACAGCAUUCUGCAUUCAAGGAAUGAUCUGGAAGAAGCCUUCAUUCACUUCAUGGGGAAGGGAGCCGCUGCUGAGCGCUUCUUCAGUGAUAAGGAAACUUUUCACGACAUUGCCCAGGUUGCGUCAGAGUUCCCAGGAGCCCAGCACUAUGUAGGAGGAAAUGCAGCUUUAAUUGGACAGAAAUUUGCAGCCAACUCAGAUUUAAAGGUUCUUCUUUGCGGUCCAGUUGGUCCAAAGCUACAUGAGCUUCUUGAUGACAAUGUCUUUGUUCCAUCAGAGUCAUUGCAGGAAGUGGAUGAGUUCCACCUCAUUUUAGAGUAUCAAGCAGGUAAGGAAACGAGUAAGUAAUGGUGGCAAGACCAGUCAAGGGACUGUGUAUUGUCAGAUUGGGGUGUGACCAUGCCAGAAAUUUAUCUUUGUAAAUUAGCAGGAUCCUGUUUUUGCCAUACUGAAAGUUUCCUGACCUAUUGGUUCUACUGAGCUGAU
rnacentral:sRNA from 1 species